UACGGAGGGAGCUAGCGUUGUUCGGAAUUACUGGGCGUAAAGCGCGCGCAGGCGGUCUCUCAAGUCAGUGGUGAAAUCCCGGAGCUCAACUCCGGAACUGCCAUUGAAACUGUUAGACUUGAGGUCGAGAGAGGUGAGUGGAAUUCCGAGUGUAGAGGUGAAAUGCGUAGAUAUUCGGAGGAACACCAGUGGCGAAGGCGGCUCACUGGCUCGAUACUGACGCUGAGGUGCGAAAGCGUGGGGAGCAAACAGG
rnacentral:rRNA from 1 species